rnacentral:rRNA from 1 species
GAUGAACGCUGGCGGCGUGCCUAAUACAUGCAAGUCGAGCGAACGGACGAGAAGCUUGCUUCUCUGAUGUUAGCGGCGGACGGGUGAGUAACACGAGGAUAACCUACCUAUAAGACUGGGAUAACUUCGGGAAACCGGAGCUAAUACCGGAUGAUAUUUUGAACCGCAUGGUUCAAAAGUGAAAGACGGUCUUGCUGUCACUUAUAGAUGGAUCCGCGCUGCAUUAGCUAGUUGGUAAGGUAACGGCUUACCAAGGCAACGAUGCAUAGCCGACCUGAGAGGGUGAUCGGCCACACUGGAACUGAGACACGGUCCAGACUCCUACGGGAGGCAGCAGUAGGGAAUCUUCCGCAAUGGGCGAAAGCCUGACGGAGCAACGCCGCGUGAGUGAUGAAGGUCUUCGGAUCGUAAAACUCUGUUAUUAGGGAAGAACAUAUGUGUAAGUAACUGUGCACAUCUUGACGGUACCUAAUCAGAAAGCCACGGCUAACUACGUG